CGGGUGAGUAACGCGUGGAUAAUCUGCCCUCUACUGGGGAAUAACUAACCGAAAGGUUAGCUAAUACCGCAUGAGACCACGAUCUCUGAGGAGAACGAGGUUAAAGAUUUAUCGGUAGAGGAUGAGUCUGCGUGGGAUUAGCUAGUUGGUGGGGUAACGGCCUACCAAGGCUACGAUCUCUAACAGGUCUGAGAGGAUGACCCGUCACACUGGAACUGAGACACGGUCCAG
rnacentral:rRNA from 1 species